CGAGUUUGAUCGUGGCUCAGGACGAACGCUGGCGGCGUGCUUAACACAUGCAAGUCGAACGGUGAAGCCCUUUCGGGGGUGGAUCAGUGGCGAACGGGUGAGUAACACGUGGGCAAUCUGCCCUGCACUCUGGGACAAGCCCUGGAAACGGGGUCUAAUACCGGAUAUGACACAUGAGGGCAUCUUCGUGUGUGGAAAGCUCCGGCGGUGCAGGAUGAGCCCGCGGCCUAUCAGCUUGUUGGUGGGGUGAUGGCCUACCAAGGCGACGACGGGUAGCCGGCCUGAGAGGGCGACCGGCCACACUGGGACUGAGACACGGCCCAGACUCCUACGGGAGGCAGCAGUGGGGAAUAUUGCACAAUGGGCGCAAGCCUGAUGCAGCGACGCCGCGUGAGGGAUGACGGCCU
rnacentral:rRNA from 1 species